ACAUUGUGUUAAAAAUUGGGAAAAUUUGAAAUUGUCCAAAAUUAUGUGGAUCUAUCUCGUACUUGUAAUUCAUAUAAUUCAUAUUACUUCUCUAUGACAACAUGUUAGUCCGAUUGAUGUUCUGCUGUAUAUAUGUGGCCUGGUUUCUUGCCUUUGGCCUCACCAUUUGUCUGUCAACAGUGAAAUGUUUGUAAAGACGCGUUUUUUACCUUUAAAAAUGCUGAUAUUAAUCUGCCAGAAAGGUGAAACAACUGUUGCCCAUUGUUAAAAGAUGUCAUGAUUGUGUCUUUCUUUACGGGUGAUGGACCUGCCCAUGCGAAGACGUCGAGUUGUGAGUGCUUCGAACAAAACCUCCACUGCAUCUUCAAGUGCUUUGGCUUGAUUAUCCAAUCCAUGGGAAACAAAAUUUGGAAGGUCAUGCAGCUCAUCGAGGAGGCCUAUGGCUGCAGCUGCUGUACAUGUACGAUCCCAUGAUGGUUGGGGUCUGAGUUUAUGCAUCAAGGAUGCUCCUGUGUUCAGCGUUAUGCAAGGAAUCUCCUCCUCCCCCCACAUCACCUUGUACCGAUCCUUUAAACGGCUGAACAUUGCACCCG
rnacentral:misc_RNA from 1 species